rnacentral:lncRNA from 1 species
UAUUUUUUGCUGCCAGAAGGGAUCCAAAUAGGUUGUAACUGGGAGUAAAAGAUGUGUCUAAACUGAUCGUCUGGUGCGAAAAUCGACGACCAAGAUCCAGUUAUGUGUAUUGCAGGACAACACCUUUCAUUAGAUACACUUUGAUGCUAUUUCUAGCAUGAUUUUCUAUUUCAGACUUAAAACUAAAUUUCUGAACAACUAAAAUCGCUCUUGUUCCUUAUUUUUUUAGGGCGGUUCCUCUCAUUUUACUGGUUCGUCCUCUCCUUCAUGAUUGAUGUACUGGUUCUGGCCGCUCCUUCGUGAUAGACUCGGUUAACUCUUUGUUAGCCUUGUGGGUCGUAAUUCUUUCUCUCCAGACGCAUAUACUGCCUAAUGUAUUGCUCAUGCUCAUUCUGUACCGAGAUAGUCCUAAUAUCCAUAGGGUUGUAGAUUGAUUUCCCCUGAAAAAGCUAUGCUUCUUUCCUUGGAUGAUAAGCAUGUUCGGCAGCUAUGUGGAAUUCUUAAGAUAAACGGUCUUUAGUAUCUUUUGGUGCAUCUGCGUGCACGUAACAGUCUGUUAGUUUCUCUUUAUAUAAUGAAAAAAAUAUGCUACUGUUGCUUGUUUAUUAUUAUCUAUCAUUUGUAGAUUUAUUUUUAGGCCACCGGUGCUUGUAUGUAUAAUUUCUAGUCUCUUGAAUGAAUAAUUUUUCUUUAUGUGUCAUGCGUCUUGUGUUACUACAUACAUCUGUCGUGAAGUACAUGGUUCCGGAACUAUGGUAACCCGUAGUUUGCUCUACCCGUGAUAGUAGGAUGAUGGAAGCAUCACUACUGAAUGUAGUUCAUGUUUCUUCAUAUAAUCAUCAUUUACUAGAGUUUCUCUUCUUCUUGCUACUGCUUGGUUUUUGACGCCACUAGCUUGUACUAAAACGUAAACACAUCAUAUUGUUUUCAUCAGACUAGGGUACCUUGAGCAUGCAAAGUAAACACAUGCUACUCCACUUGUCUAUUUGUACAUAAACUUUUUUUAAAAUAAACCGAGCUAAUAAACCAAACGGUGCGAACACAUUCAGUUCUGAAAUUUGUCUACUCCACUUAUUUGAUUGUACUAAAACCUUUGUUUGCAUGUUUCUAAAAUACAGAGAAGAACACCCUGUGUUCUGGUAAAAUAUUUGUUUGCUAUGAUAUGAAAUCCCAUGAUGUGUGUGUUGUUUCAGUUUCUGUAGCUACAACAAAGUCCCAGUUUACUCUGUACUUGCUUUUGAUGAUUGCUGGCUAAAUUUACAGUUGAAAUAAUAGUAGCCAAGGAGUAGAUACAAGACGUAUUUACCGUAUUUUGCAUGGAAUGUUAAAAAUCAGUUUUGUUGCGGUUUCUUGUUCUGUGAGUCAAAUUGCAUAAGAUGGGAGUAUCACAACAUGCAUAUACUGAAGAUGGGAGUAUCACAACCUGAAUGUGCAGCUUAUGUAGUUUCUGUAUUUUUGUUAAAGCAUGGAGUAGCUUCUAUAGUUUCUGUAUUUUUGUUAAAGCAUGGAGUAGCUUCUAUAGCUUCCUCACAAGUUAAUGCUUCGCUCGUCCGGGUGUGUGAUAAAGCCAUUUGUCUUGUGGAAUCAGAUUACAUUUCUGUUUGUUAUGGUAAUAUAAAAAUAUUCGUGCUAUCAAAAUUUUCACAGUGCGUGUCUUUCAUUUCUUUAAUUUGAUUGUUUCCCUUGUAUUCAAUAUGCUUCUAGUGGCUGAUCCUUCCAUUUUUGUUGUGGCAUCUUUAUUUUCACAGGUGUUGUGUGUUCUGGAAGAUGGAAGAGGAAGAAAUUGUUGAACUAAAUUUUCUGUAUUCUGUUUUGUUGUACGUAUCAUUUGAUAGUUUUGUAUAGGAACAAGUGAUACUAUUUUGUAGGGCUUUAUGGCCUGUGAUGUAAACAUAUUUAGUGCUGAAAUAUGAAAUUAUUUGCAAAAUUU